CCUACGGGUGGCUGCAGUAAGGAAUAUUGGUCAAUGGACGGAAGUCUGAACCAGCCAUCCCGCGUGCAGGAAGAAGGUCCUAUGGAUUGUAAACUGCUUUUAGCAGAGACGAAACGCCUUCAUUUAUGGGGGUUUGACGGUAUCUGCGGAAUAAGCACCGGCUAACUCCGUGCCAGCAGCCGCGGUAAUACGGAGGGUGCAAGCGUUAUCCGGAAUCAAUGGGGCUAAGGCGUGGGAAUGCGUGGGUGGUGAAAGCCUGUAGCUUAACUACAGAAUUGCCAUUGAUACUGAUUUUCUUGAAUUGGGUUGAGGUUAGCGGAAUGUGACAUGUAACGGUGAAAUGUUUAGAUAUGUCAUGGAACACCGAUUGCGAAGGCAGCUAGCUGGGCCUUGAUUGACGCUGAGGCACGAAAGCGUGGGUAGCGAACAGGAUUAGAUACCCGAGUAGUC
rnacentral:rRNA from 1 species